rnacentral:rRNA from 1 species
ACGAACGCUGGCGGCGUGCUUAACCCAUGCAAGUCGCACGGAAAGGCCCUGCUUUUGUGGGGUGCUCGAGUGGCGAACGGGUGAGUAACACGUGAGUAACCUGCCCUUGACUUUGGGAUAACUUCAGGAAACUGGGGCUAAUACCGGAUAGGAGCUCCUGCUGCAUGGUGGGGGUUGGAAAGUUUCGGCGGUUGGGGAUGGACUCGCGGCUUAUCAGCUUGUUGGUGGGGUAGUGGCUUACCAAGGCUUUGACGGGUAGCCGGCCUGAGAGGGUGACCGGCCACAUUGGGACUGAGAUACGGCCCAGACUCCUACGGGAGGCAGCAGUGGGGAAUAUUGCACAAUGGGCGGAAGCCUGGUGCAGCAACGCCGCGUGCGGGAUGACGGCCUUCGGGUUGUAAACCGCUUUCGCCUGUGACGAAGCGUGAGUGACGGUAAUGGGUAAAGAAGCACCGGCUAACUACGUG